rnacentral:tRNA from 1 species
GCCUGGCUGGCUCAGUCAGUAGAGCAUGUGACUCUUGAUCUUGAGGUUGUAAGUUCAAGCCCCAUGUUGGGUG